GAUGAACGCUGGCGGCGUGCCUAAUACAUGCAAGUCAAGCGAACGGACGAGAAGCUUGCUUCUCUGAUGUUAGCGGCGGACGGGUGAGUAACACGUGGAUAACCUACCUAUAAGACUGGGAUAACUUCGGGAAACCGUAGCUAAUACCGGAUAAUAUUUUGAACCGCAUGGUUCAAAAGUGAAAGACGGUCUUGCUGUCACUUAUAGAUGGAUCCGCGCUGCAUUAGCUAGUUGGUAAGGUAACGGCUUACCAAGGCAACGAUGCAUAGCCGACCUGAGAGGGUGAUCGGCCACACUGGAACUGAGACACGGUCCAGACUCCUACGGGAGGCAGCAGUAGGGAAUCUUCCGCAAUGGGCGAAAGCCUGACGGAGCAACGCCGCGUGAGUGAUGAAGGUCUUCGGAUCGUAAAACUCUGUUAUUAGGGAAGAACAUAUGUGUAAGUAACUGUGCACAUCUUGACGGUACCUAAUCAGAAAGCCACGGCUAACUACGUG
rnacentral:rRNA from 1 species